rnacentral:rRNA from 1 species
CGUCAGGGAAACGCCCGGAAACAUUCCGAACCCGGAAGCUAAGGCUGACUGCGCCGAUGGUACUGCAGGGGGGACCCUGUGGGAGAGUAGGACACCGCCGGAC